rnacentral:rRNA from 1 species
GACGAACGCUGGCGGCGUGCUUAACACAUGCAAGUCGAACGGAAAGGCCCCUUUGGGGGUACUCGAGUGGCGAACGGGUGCGUAACACGUGAGUAACCUGCCCUUGACUUCGGGAUAACUUCAGGAAACUGGGGCUAAUACCGGAUAGGAAUCCUUGCUGCAUGGUGGGGGUUGGAAAGCUUCGGCGGUUUUGGAUGGACUCGCGGCUUAUCAGCUUGUUGGUGGGGUAGUGGCUUACCAAGGCUAUGACGGGUAGCCGGCCUGAGAGGGCGACCGGCCACACGGGAACUGAGAGACGGUCCAGACUGCUACGAGAGGCAGCAGGAGGGAAGCUGCCGGGAUGGGCGAAGGGCUGACGGAGAAACGCGGCGUGAGGGAUGAAGGUCGGCGGAGCGGAAAACUGUGUUAUUAGGGAAGAACAAAUGUGUAAGUAACUAUGCACGGCCUGACGGGACCUAAGCAGAAAGCCACGGCGAACUACGUG